UACAGAGGGGGCAAGCGUUGUUCGGAAUUACUGGGCGUAAAGGGCGCGUAGGCGGCCAACUAAGUCGGACGUGAAAUCCCCGGGCUCAACCCGGGAACUGCGUCCGAUACUGGAUGGCUUGAAUCCGGGAGAGGGAUGUGGAAUUCCAGGUGUAGCGGUGAAAUGCGCAGAUAUCAGGAGGAACACCGGUGGCGAAGGCGGGUCUCUGGGUAGUAACUGACGCUGAGGAACGAAAGCGUGGGUAGCGAACAGG
rnacentral:rRNA from 1 species